rnacentral:tRNA from 5 species
UAUUCUAGUAGCUUAAUA